rnacentral:rRNA from 1 species
CCUACGGGAGGCAGCAGUGAGGAAUAUUGGUCAAUGGGAGAGAUCCUGAACCAGCCAAGCCGCGUGAGGGAAGACGGCCCUAUGGGUUGUAAACCUCUUUUGUCGGAGAACAAAACCCGGGACGUGUCCCGUACUGCGUGUAUCCGAAGAAAAAGCAUCGGCUAACUCCGUGCCAGCAGCCGCGGUAAUACGGAGGAUGCGAGCGUUAUCCGGAUUUAUUGGGUUUAAAGGGUGCGUAGGCGGUCCGUUAAGUCAGCGGUAAAAUUGCGGGGCUCAACCCCGUCGAGCCGUUGAAACUGGCAGACUUGAGUUGGCGAGAAGUACGCGGAAUGCGCGGUGUAGCGGUGAAAUGCUUAGAUAUCGCGCAGAACUCCGAGUGCGAAGGCAGCGUACCGGCGCCAGACUGACGCUGAGGCACGAAAGCGUGGGGAUCGAACAGGAUUAGAUACCCGGGUAGUC